rnacentral:lncRNA from 1 species
GGACAACGCUCCAUAGAUAGUGGACAUCCAUUGAGUAUAGUUGUACCUUAUUUAUUUCAUCUGUUUAUAGUUGAUGAAAGCAAAUGUAAAUUAUUCAUUUGAAAGAUGGUAAUGUAUAUAUUGGAAGAAUGAAUGUAAUAAUUAUGUAAGUUUUGUAUUUGAUUUAAAGUAAUCAAAAUACAAUGUAUGAAUGCUUUAGUUAGUUUACUUACACUUGCUUGUGUUGCUUGCCCUCGUGCAAGCCAUGUAUAUUGAAAUUUUUUCUGGGCAUUUCUUUAUACAUGUUUGUUGUUGUUGUUGAGCCUUGGGCGAACAGAGAAAGUUCUGUUCAUUCGGCGUCUGUAUACGGGCCCAAACCGACCAAAUUGGCGGUCUCGGGGCGUGACAUACGGGGUCCGGUCCCUGGCUUCAAGGACCGGUCCCCGA